GAGUCAAGUUACUACAAAUUUAUUUCCCCGAUUGUGACUUAUUUUUUUUUUGUUUGCUGAAGUGCACACUAUCGUUUUUUCGACGACUUAAAUAUAUUGAUUUGGUUAAGAAAAUUUUUUUUCUUUUCUAUUGAGAUUUUGUUGAUUCUUUUAACGAUAAUAUGGAGUCCUCUAUUGUACCAUAUUUAAAAGUUGAUGAGUUAGAUUAUGAACUUUUUAUACGGGGAGUUAAAACUACAAGGAGUGUUAGUGAUAAAAAGACUAUUCUUCGUAAAC
rnacentral:lncRNA from 1 species